ACGGUGUGUUAGUGCAGUGACGCAUUGAGCUAACUGAUACUAAUUGCCCGUGAGGCUUAACCAUACAACACCCAAGGGGUUU
rnacentral:rRNA from 1 species